AAACGUUUACAGAGCAUCCGCGAGAACUUCCUUCUAAGCUAAAUAUGUCAUCUAGCACCUGAAAAAAUUUAAGUCUGGUUCUUUCUGGAUAAAAGAAAGCGCACAGGAUUUAAGUAGCUGUAUAACAUUUCACAAGAUGAAUGUACCACAAAUUUUAAUCCUUCUAUUGUUGAUGGAUUUGGAUUAUUACCAACUUUUGGCCUUUGAGCCAGUCUAGGAUUCACGAUGUAACCAUGGAGCAGAUGCUUUGAGGUGAAUGACAUUUCCAGCAUUGAAGGACAGCAUAGACACGGAAAUACAUUUUAUGGCGUGCCAGUGGGUGUGGUGGGUCUCAGGGAUGCAAGGUGGGUGAGACUCCCUGUCUGUUCCUGAGGAGCUCUGGUGAGUGGGAAGGAGAAGGGAACACUCGAAGAGCAUGGCAGCCUUAAAGAGGCAGUGGGCUGAGGAGGCUCGCUCUGUGUUCAGAAAUUGGAACAGGGUUGUAGAAAGGAUGCUGUGUGGCUGUUAAAGUAAACUCCACCCAUUUUAGAAUUUUCCUUGGAAGCGGCCUCAAUGUCUAGAAAAGAGUGGGAAAAAUCUUUCCCCUUUUCAAAU
rnacentral:lncRNA from 10 species